ACUCCUACGGGAGGCAGCAGUGGGGGAAUAUUGCACAAUGGGCGCAAGCCUGAUGCAGCAACGCCGCGUGAGCGAUGAAGGCCUCGGUCGUAAAGCUCUGUCCUCAAGGAAGAAUAAAUGACGGUACUUGAGGAGGAAGCCCGGGCUAACUACGUGCCAGCAGCCGCGGUAAUACGUAGGGGGCAAGCGUUAUCCGGAAUCACUGGGGCGUAAAGGGGUGCGUAGGCGGUUUUUCAAGUCAGAAGUGAAAGGCUAUGGCUCAACCAUAGUAAGCUUUUGAAACUGUUAAACUUGAGUGCAGGAGAGGAAAGUGGAAUUCCUAGUGUAGAGGUGAAAUUCGUAGAUAUUAGGAGGAACACCAGUGGCGAAGGCGACUUUCUGGACUGUAACUGACGCUGAGGCACGAAAGCGUGGGAGCGAACAGGAUUAGAUACCCUGGUAGCACGAGAG
rnacentral:rRNA from 1 species